UACGUAGGGAGCAAGCGUUGUCCGGAAUCAUUGGGCGUAAAGCGCGCGUAGGUGGCCCCAUAAGUCCGCUGUGAAAGUCAAAGGCUCAACCUUUGAAAGCCGGUGGAUACUGUGGGACUAGAGUGCGGAAGAGGCGAGUGGAAUUCCUGGUGUAGCGGUGGAAUGCGCAGAUAUCAGGAGGAACACCAAUAGCGAAGGCAGCUCGCUGGGACGUUACUGACACUGAGGCGCGAAAGCGUGGGGAGCGAACAGG
rnacentral:rRNA from 1 species